rnacentral:rRNA from 1 species
UGGGGAAUAUUGCACAAUGGGCGAAAGCCUGAUGCAGCGACGCCGCGUGAGGGAUGACGGCCUUCGGGUUGUAAACCUCUUUCAGCAGGGACGAAGCGCAAGUGACGGUACCUGCAGAAGAAGCACCGGCUAACUACGUGCCAGCAGCCGCGGUAAUACGUAGGGUGCAAGCGUUGUCCGGAAUUACUGGGCGUAAAGAGUUCGUAGGCGGUCUGUCGCGUCGUUUGUGAAAACCAGCAGCUCAACUGCUGGCUUGCAGGCGAUACGGGCAGACUUGAGUACUGCAGGGGAGACUGGAAUUCCUGGUGUAGCGGUGAAAUGCGCAGAUAUCAGGAUGAACACCGGUGGCGAAGGCGGGUCUCUGGGCAGUAACUGACGCUGAGGAACGAAAGCGUGGGUAGCGAACAGG